rnacentral:rRNA from 1 species
UACGGAGGAUGCAAGCGUUAUCCGGAAUGAUUGGGCGUAAAGCGUCCGCAGGUGGCUAUGUAAGUCUGCUGUUAAAGAGUGAGGCUCAACCUCAUAAGAGCAGUGGAAACUACAUGGCUAGAGUGCGUUCGGGGCAGAGGGAAUUCCCGGUGUAGCGGUGAAAUGCGUAGAGAUCAGGAAGAACACCGGUGGCGAAAGCGCUCUGCUAGGCCGCAACUGACACUCAUGGACGAAAGCUAGGGGAGCGAAUGGG